rnacentral:tRNA from 1 species
CAAUAAGAAGCUUUCACGAAUAAGCAACAGCCUUUUAAGCUGUCGUUCGAUGGCCCUCAACCAUCCUUAUUGA